rfam:Calothrix sp. PCC 6303, complete genome.
GGGAGUAGGCGUAGGUAGUUACAGAUUAGUCAUAAAAGGCUAGUUUGAGGAAAGUCCGGGCUUCCGAAAGACCAGACUUGCUGGAUAACGUCCAGUGCGUGCGAGCGUGAGGAUAGUGCCACAGAAAAAUACCGCCUAAUUUAGUGAACGGUGAACAGUGAGCAGUGAGCAGGUAAUACUUGAUAACUGAUAACUGGUAACUGCUAACUGAUGAGGUAAGGGUGCAAAGGUGCGGUAAGAGCGCACCAGCAACAUCGAGAGGUGUUGGCUCGGUAAACCCCGGUUGGAAGCAAGGUAAAUGGAGCUAUGGUUGGUCUUUUUCCAGUUCCUUUGAUGAGAGCCGCUUGAGGCAUUUGGUAACAAAUGUCCCAGAUAGAUGACUACCCUUGUAAUCUGGAAGUAUGAAGAAAUUUAAUACUUUGAGAUUUUGAGAACAGAACCCGGCUUAUGUCCGACUCUCUCCU